rnacentral:rRNA from 1 species
UACGUAGGGCGCAAGCGUUGUCCGGAAUUAUUGGGCGUAAAGAGCUCGUAGGUGGCUUGUCGCGUCUGUCGUGAGAACCCGGGGCUUAACCCUGGGCUGGCAGUGGAUACGGACAGACUAGAGGUAGGUAGGGGAGAAUGGAAUUCCCGGUGUAGCGGUGAAAUGCGCAGAUAUCGGGAGGAACACCGGUGGCGAAGGCGGUUCUCUGGGCCUUACCUGACGCUGAGGAGCGAAAGCGUGGGGAGCGAACAGG